GACGAACGCUGGCGGCGUGCUUAACACAUGCAAGUCGAACGGAAAGACCCUGCUUUUGUGGGGUGCUCGAGUGGCGAACGGGUGAGUAACACGUGAGUAACCUGCCCUUGACCUUGGGAUAACUUCAGGAAACUGGGGCUAAUACCGGAUAGGAGCUCCUGCUGCAUGGUGGGGGUUGGAAAGUUUCGGCGGUUGGGGAUGGACUCGCGGCUUAUCAGCUUGUUGGUGGGGUAGUGGCUUACCAAGGCUUUGACGGGUAGCCGGCCUGAGAGGGUUAACGGCCACAAGGGGACUGAGAGACGGCCCAGACUCCUACGGGAGGCAGCAGUGGGGAAUAUUGCACAAUGGGCGGAAGCCUGAUGCAGCAACGCCGCGUGCGGGAUGACGGCCUUCGAGUUGUAAACCGCUUUCGCCUGUGACGAAGCGUGAGUGACGGUAAUGGGUAAAGAAGCACCGGCUAACUACGUG
rnacentral:rRNA from 1 species